rnacentral:rRNA from 1 species
CCUACGGGAGGCAGCAGUGGGGAAUAUUGCACAAUGGGCGCAAGCCUGAUGCAGCCAUGCCGCGUGUGUGAAGAAGGCCUUCGGGUUGUAAAGCACUUUCAGCGGGGAGGAAGGCGUUAAGGUUAAUAACCUUGUCGAUUGACGUUACCCGCAGAAGAAGCACCGGCUAACUCCGUGCCAGCAGCCGCGGUAAUACGGAGGGUGCAAGCGUUAAUCGGAAUUACUGGGCGUAAAGCGCACGCAGGCGGUCUGUCAAGUCGGAUGUGAAAUCCCCGGGCUCAACCUGGGAACUGCAUUCGAAACUGGCAGGCUAGAGUCUUGUGGAGGGGGGUAGAAUUCCAGGUGUAGCGGUGAAAUGCGUAGAGAUCUGGAGGAAUACCGGUGGCGAAGGCGGCCCCCUGGACAAAGACUGACGCUCAGGUGCGAAAGCGCGGGGAGCAAACAGGAUUAGAUACCCGAGUAGUC